GAUGAACGCUGCGUGCGUGCCUAAUACAUGCAAGUCGAGCGAACGGACGAGAAGCUUGCUUCUCUGAUGUUAGCGGCGGACGGGUGAGUAACACGUGGAUAACCUACCUAUAAGACUGGGAUAACUUCGGGAAACCGUAGCUAAUACCGGAUAAUAUUUUGAACCGCAUGGUUCAAAAGUGAAAGACGGUCUUGCUGUCACUUAUAGAUGGAUCCGCGCUGCAUUAGCUAGUUGGUAAGGUAACGGCUUACCAAGGCAACGAUGCAUAGCCGACCUGAGAGGGUGAUCGGCCACACUGGAACUGAGACACGGUCCAGACUCCUACGGGAGGCAGCAGUAGGGAAUCUUCCGCAAUGGGCGAAAGCCUGACGGAGCAACGCCGCGUGAGUGAUGAAGGUCUUCGGAUCGUAAAACUCUGUUAUUAGGGAAGAACAUAUGUGUAAGUAACUGUGCACAUCUUGACGGUACCUAAUCAGAAAGCCACGGCUAACUACGUGCCAGCAGCCGCGGUAAUACGUAGGUGGCAAGCGUUAUCCGGAAUUAUUGGGCGUAAAGCGCGCGUAGGCGGUUUUUUAAGUCUGAUGUGAAAGCCCACGGCUCAACCGUGGAGGGUCAUUGGAAACUGGAAAACUUGAGUGCAGAAGAGGAAAGUGGAAUUCCAUGUGUAGCGGUGAAAUGCGCAGAGAUAUGGAGGAACACCAGUGGCGAAGGCGACUUUCUGGUCUGUAACUGACGCUGAUGUGCGAAAGCGUGGGGAUCAAACAGGAUUAGAUACCCUGGUAGUCCACGCCGUAAACGAUGAGUGCUAAGUGUUAGGGGGUUUCCGCCCCUUAGUGCUGCAGCUAACGCAUUAAGCACUCCGCCUGGGGAGUACGACCGCAAGGUUGAAACUCAAAGGAAUUGACGGGGACCCGCACAAGCGGUGGAGCAUGUGGUUUAAUUCGAAGCAACGCGAAGAACCUUACCAAAUCUUGACAUCCUUUGACAACUCUAGAGAUAGAGCCUUCCCCUUCGGGGGACAAAGUGACAGGUGGUGCAUGGUUGUCGUCAGCUCGUGUCGUGAGAUGUUGGGUUAAGUCCCGCAACGAGCGCAACCCUUAAGCUUAGUUGCCAUCAUUAAGUUGGGCACUCUAAGUUGACUGCCGGUGACAAACCGGAGGAAGGUGGGGAUGACGUCAAAUCAUCAUGCCCCUUAUGAUUUGGGCUACACACGUGCUACAAUGGACAAUACAAAGGGCAGCGAAACCGCGAGGUCAAGCAAAUCCCAUAAAGUUGUUCUCAGUUCGGAUUGUAGUCUGCAACUCGACUACAUGAAGCUGGAAUCGCUAGUAAUCGUAGAUCAGCAUGCUACGGUGAAUACGUUCCCGGGUCU
rnacentral:rRNA from 1 species